CUUUUUGCAUUGAAGUCAAUGGGAGUCAAAAAGGCGGGAAAUAGAUGUCAAAAUCUGAAAAUCCGAAUAUUCGGAGCCGGAAUGGAGGUGAUUUGGUUCAGCUACGAAAAAUUUCGGAGGGCCAGAAGGGUGAUUCGGUUCGGAUCCGUAUCACCCAAAAUUGGCUGUUUCGGGUACAGAUCGUUCUAUACCCGAAACGUUUCGCACAUCCCUAUUAUGAAUGCCAAUUAAGUUUUUCCAUAACUAUGUUCUAGCUGGAGUUUAAGGAGCAGCGGGUGGGGGCUGGGAGUGAUUAUAUGCAAAGGAGGACAUGACUCCUGGGCGCUUUCCAGACCAGCUGCUCAUCAGCAGCCAAAUGCCUCCGUUCGGGCAAGUCGCAUUCAGAUCGUAAACAGCAGGGGGAGCAGUCUCGCAGCAACUCACAAGAACAGGUACGCAGUCUGGAGGUGCUUCUGGAUCCAAGUCUCUCCCUGGUGUCCCAGGUUGAGGCAGUGGCCAGAGGUGCCUUCUAUCAGCUUCAGCUGAUACGCCAGCUGCGUCCGUAUCUUGAGAUAGAUGACCUCAAAACAGUGGUAUAUCUGUUGGUAACCUCCAGACUGGAUUACUGUAAUGCGCUCUAUGUGGGGCUGCCCUUGUACGCAAUCUGGAAAGUACAGUUGGCCCAGAAUGCGGCAGCCAGGCUGGUCUCUGGGUCAUCUCGGAGAGACCAUAUCACUCCUGUAUUGAAGGAGCUACACUGGCUGCCGAUAUGUUUCUGGGCAAAAUACCUAUAAAGUAUAGGGCCCUGGGUAUUUACGAAAAUGUCUUCUUUGCUAUGAACCCCACAGCCCAUUGAGAUCACCAGGAGAGGUCCAUCUGCAUUUGCCACUGCUCGUCUGGUGGCUACUCAGGGACGGGUCUUCUCUGUUGCUGCCCCGAGGCUUUGGAAUGUGCUCCCUAGUGAAAUAAGAGCCUCCCCAUCUCUGACAAUUUUUAAAAAGUCUUUAAAGACGCAUCUGUUCACCCAGGCUUUUAACUGAUACUGUUUUGAUUGUUUUUAAUGUUGUUUUAGAAUAUUGUUUUAAAAAUUUUAAAUUGUUAUGUUCUAAAUUUUUUGUUUUUGUUUUUAACUAAUGUUUUACUUUUACUUUUAUCUUCUUGUAAACUGCCCAGAGACGUAUGUUUUGGGUGGUAUAAAAAUAUGUUAAAUAAAUAAAUAAAUAAACCGAAAAAACAGCAACUUUUUCACGCCGGAUAUACGACGCUCUUGCUCUAUAACACAGUGAUUAAAUUUGCAACAAGGCACUGGAAAUGUGAAUGGCACCCUGCUGUCCGUGUAGGGACAGCGGUGUCACGACACAGGAAAUGUGGAAGCACACUUCCGAGAUAUGUCUUGACCCCAUUGUAGGGUCUAGUCUGGAAAGUGCCCCGUACACAGUAUUGUCUGCUGUGACUGGCAGCAGCUUCUCCAAGGCUUCAGGCAAAAGUCUUCCCCAGCCUGAUCUGGAGAUGCUAGAGAUUGAACCUGGGACCUUCUCCAUCCAAAGCAGAUGCUCUACCUCUGAGCCACAGCUUCAUCCCCAUUGUUUUACUUGGAACACCUCUCUCCCAGAACGCCUCUUCUGUGGUGUCACCUCUCUCUCCGCUCAAGACCUUCCUCAAAAGCCACCUCUCCUAUAACAUGUUAGCUUAACCCCUCCAUCCUCAUCCCUAAGUAAAAUGAAGUACCCAUAACUGGUACUGAUAGAUUGUAAUGUAAUGUAAUUAAUAAUCUGGUCCUCAAGUCCAGGGAUUGGGAGGUAUGAUAGUAGCAGUAAUAAAAGGCAAUAUAAUGGCCCAGUGGUCCAUUUGUUCACAAUGUAUGUUCAGAGGACUUUUAAAAUUCAUUGGUACUUUUAGGGAGGGGGUGAUUUACUGCUAGAGACACAUUUGCUUCUCAUUUUGCUGACAAGUGUAAAAUAUGAGAGCAAAGGUCUUGACCACACUUCUUAUGCUUGGUAUAUCAGUUUCUGAGUUUUAAGUUGACAUAGGUUUGAAUCACUCCCCUGUUGCAAUUUUAGUACUGUAUUUACCUAAAUACAAGACAACUCUGAAUUUAAGACGAGCCCCUUUAAAAAUAGAUGUUAAAUACAGGUUAUACCUAUAUUUUCUCAAAAGGAAGAGGACUCUUAAUUUAAGAUGACCCCCUGAUUUCUAACAUCAAAGACUUUGGGGGAAAAUCUGGUCUUGGAUUCAAGUAAAUACAGUAAUAUUUCUUUGUGGAAAUACUCUUCUAAUUCUCACACACGCUCCACUGUUGGCCAAUCCCAGUUGUAAUUUACCAUUCAAAUGAUGUAUGGAUUACAGUUAUUCAGGGAUUAGAUACAGUCUUUGCACAAGAACAAAAGGGAACAGAAUGUGUACUUGCAUUGUUUAGCUAAGGUUUGAAAAGAUUAGACACACGAACAGACCCUGUUUGUUUGGGUUAGAUUUACUUUCUCUGCCAUCACCCAGAAUUUCAGCAAUUAUUUGAUUUCAUGGUUGUCACUAUUACCUGUUAUAAAAUGCCAUUAUUAUGUUGUUCCAUCUGAAAAUUAUUAAUUAAAAAUAACAUCAUGAGAUUUACCCAAUGUUCUACUUUGGCUUUUCUUUUGCCUUGAGCCACAGCAAACACCUUGACUCCUGGCAGAGGAAAGAAGUGACAUGCUUCUUGCCCACUUGUGUGGAAUUUCCUCCAAAAGGUGGGAAGACUGUUGCAGCCCAUAUGGUGCCCUGGUGUAAGGGUUCCCAGACUCAGCAGCCAGAAGCCAGCAGUUCCUCUUCAAUGAAACACUGAGGGACUGAGCAUGGUGAAAGAACAACCACUCCUAUGGAUGGCAUGAGUGCAUUUCCCCCUUUCUAGAGUAGGUGGAAUGAGAGAAGAAGAAAAACUUGAGUUGGUCACGUGAAGCAUGCAUAUAUUUAUAACUGAGAAAGUGGUUGUGAAGGUUAUACAAGUGGAAAUGAGUUAACAAAGCAAUAAAAAUGGUCUUUAAAUACCUACUAAAGCAUCACUAUUAACAUGUGUGCAAUUCGACAAAGCAGACAACGGGAUACUUUUUAUGGGCAAAAUAAUGUUGAAUCUGAAAAUUGUGCAAUCUCUCGCACUUCUUUUCUCUUCCAGUAUAUCAUGUAAAAGGCAAGGUGAAUUAUUUUGGUUACAAUAAAAGGUAUUGUGUUUAUGAGUCA